rnacentral:rRNA from 1 species
UACGGGAUAAUAUAUUUGAGAGGCAUCUCUUAAAUAUCAAAGGUGAGCCAGUACAGGAUGGACCCGCGUCUGAUUAGCUAGUUGGUAAGGUAACGGCUUACCAAGGCGACGAUCAGUAGCCGACCUGAGAGGGUGAUCGGCCACAUUGGAACUGGGACACGGUCCAAACUCCUACGGGAGGCAGCAGUGGGGAAUAUUGCACAAUGGGCGAAAGCCUGAUGCAGCAACGCCGCGUGAGUGAUGAAGGCCUUCGGGUCGUAAAACUCUGUCCUAAAGGAAGAUAAUGACGGUACUUGAGGAGGAAGCCCCGGCUAACUACGUGCCAGCAGCCGCGGUAAUACGUAGGGGGCUAGCGUUAUCCGGAUUUACUGGGCGUAAAGGGUGCGUAGGCGGUCUUUCA